rnacentral:rRNA from 1 species
CGGGAGUCAGACUGCGAGUGAUAAGAUCCGUAGUCGAAAGGGAAACAGCCCAGACCACCAGUUAAGGUCCCCAAAUAUAUGUUAAGUGGAAAAGGAUGUGGGGUUGCUUAGACAACCAGGAUGUUGGCUUAGAAGCAGCCACCAUUGAAAGAGUGCGUAAUAGCUCACUGGUCGAGUGACCCCGCGCCGAAAAUGUACCGGGGCUAAACAUAUUACC